rnacentral:rRNA from 1 species
GACGAACGCUGGCGGCGUGCUUAACACAUGCAAGUCGAACGGGAUCCGGGCUUUCGGGUUUGGUGAGAGUGGCGAACGGGUGAGUAACACGUGAGUAACCUGCCCCCUUCUUUGGGAUAACGUCGGGAAAUCGGCGCUAAUACUGGAUAUUCUUGCUGCAUCGCAUGGUGUGGUUUGGAAAGGGUUUCUGGUGGGGGAUGGGCUCGCGGCCUAUCAGCUUGUUGGUGGGGUGAUGGCCUACCAAGGCUUUGACGGGUAGCCGGCCUGAGAGGGUGUCCGGCCACACUGGGACUGAGACACGGCCCAGAGUCCUACGGGAGGCAGCAGUGGGGAAUAGUGCACAAUGGGCGCAAGCCUGAUGCAGCGACGCCGCGUGAGGGAUGACGGCCUUCGGGUUGUAAACCUCUUUCAGUAUGGAACAAGGAUCCUUCUUUUGGGGGGUUUGAGGGUACGUGCAGAAGAAGCGCCGGCUAACUACGUG